ACGAGUCAUUUGGUGAGUUUUAAGUGAAACCCAAAGGCUAAAACUAUGCAAGUUACCAACCAUUCCAUUUCAUAAUGAACUUCGUACGAACUUGAAUUGUCCAAUAUCAUGGGCCAAUCGAUAUCGGAUUGAAUCCAAAACUCGGGGAACAUCAUAAUGUUGUAGGAGGAGUCAUUUGGUGAGUUUUGAGUGAAAUCAAAUUGCCAAAACUAUGCAAUACACCCACCGCUCCAUUUAAGAAUGAACUUUUU
rnacentral:lncRNA from 1 species